rnacentral:ribozyme from 17 species
AUGGCACUUGCAGAUACGAGAAGAAACAAUGGAUUGUGGGAUGAACCUUUUUUUCUACUUUUGUUGUAUUAUGAUAUCGGAUUACAACAAAAAAAAGUUUUUGUUCCGUUUUGCUUUUU